GCAAUCGGGAAUACACUUAAGCUUAUUUUUCUGACGAAUCGAACGAUUGUGUUUAAGUACAAACAUUAAACGUGAUCGUUUAAUCUUUUGUUUGGGUAUUAAAUCAAAUUCAAUUGAAAUCUCUCUUCAACUAGGGUAAAAAAAAAUAACCCAAAACACUCUCUCUCGGUUUUACAGAGAGGAUCUGCCCCUUUCCUCAAUUCACCUUCGGCCGCAUCUCUCCCGAUAACCCCUCUCUCAUCUCUUUACUCAAGUGAACCCUUCUUCUCCCCAUCAAACACGCCCACACAUAAAUCUGGACCCACGCACACGGACACACAAGCACGAGGCCCGCCGCUGCAAGUUCGGCAAGGAGCGUCGGCCUCGUCCUUCGUCUGUACUCCCUCAGAUUGAAAAACCCUCUAAAUUUCCUUCACUGUCCACUCCCAUCC
rnacentral:lncRNA from 1 species